rnacentral:tRNA from 1 species
GCCGGUAGCUCAGUUGGUUAGAGCAUCGUCCUGAUAAGCCAAGGUUGCAGGUUCGAUCCCCGCUCAGGGCA